rnacentral:rRNA from 1 species
UCAGGAUGAACGCUGGCGGCGUGCCUAAUACAUGCAAGUCGAGCGAACAGACGAGGAGCUUGCUCCUCUGACGUUAGCGGCGGACGGGUGAGUAACACGUGGAUAACCUACCUAUAAGACUGGGAUAACUUCGGGAAACCGGAGCUAAUACCGGAUAAUAUAUUGAACCGCAUGGUUCAAUAGUGAAAGACGGUUUUGCUGUCACUUAUAGAUGGAUCCGCGCCGCAUUAGCUAGUUGGUAAGGUAACGGCUUACCAAGGCAACGAUGCGUAGCCGACCUGAGAGGGUGAUCGGCCACACUGGAACUGAGACACGGUCCAGACUCCUACGGGAGGCAGCAGUAGGGAAUCUUCCGCAAUGGGCGAAAGCCUGACGGAGCAACGCCGCGUGAGUGAUGAAGGUCUUCGGAUCGUAAAACUCUGUUAUUAGGGAAGAACAAAUGUGUAAGUAACUAUGCACGUCUUGACGGUACCUAAUCAGAAAGCCACGGCUAACUACGUGCCAGCAGCCGCGGUAAUACGUAGGUGGCAAGCGUUAUCCGGAAUUAUUGGGCGUAAAGCGCGCGUAGGCGGUUUUUUAAGUCUGAUGUGAAAGCCCACGGCUCAACCGUGGAGGGUCAUUGGAAACUGGAAAACUUGAGUGCAGAAGAGGAAAGUGGAAUUCCAUGUGUAGCGGUGAAAUGCGCAGAGAUAUGGAGGAACACCAGUGGCGAAGGCGAC